rnacentral:rRNA from 1 species
UGGGGAAUAUUGGACAAUGGGCGCAAGCCUGAUCCAGCAAUGCCGCGUGUGUGAAGAGGGCCUUCGGGUUGUAAAGCACUUUUAUCAGGAGCGAAACGCUGUCGGCUAAUACCCGGCGGAACUGACGGUACCUGAGGAAUAAGCACCGGCUAACUUCGUGCCAGCAGCCGCGGUAAUACGAAGGGUGCAAGCGUUAAUCGGAAUUACUGGGCGUAAAGCGUGCGUAGGCGGUUUCUUAAGUCUGCUGUGAAAUCCCCGGGCUCAACCUGGGAAUGGCAGUGGAUACUGGGAGGCUAGAGUGUGUCAGAGGGUGGUGGAAUUCCCGGUGUAGCGGUGAAAUGCGUAGAGAUCGGGAGGAACAUCAGUGGCGAAGGCGGCCACCUGGGACAACACUGACGCUGAGGCACGAAAGCGUGGGGAGCAAACAGGAUUAGAUACCCUGGUAGUCCACGCCCUAAACGAUGCGAACUGGAUGUUGGUCUCAACUCGGAGAUCAGUGUCGAAGCUAACGCGUUAAGUUCGCCGCCUGGGGAGUACGGUCGCAAGACUGAAACUCAAAGGAAUUGACGGGGUCAUAGCUGUUUCCUG